GAAUCCGCUAAGGAGUGUGUAACAACUCACCUGCCGAAUGAAUUAGCCCUGAAAAUGGAUGGCGCUGAAGCGGGUAGCCGACACUAUGCCGUUUGACGUAUAAUGUUCAGAUGAGUAGGAGGACGUGGCGGUUGUACAGAAGCGUGUGCGCGAGCAUGCGUGGAACGGCCGCUAGUGCAGAUCUUGGUGGUAGUAGCAAAUAUUCAAAUGAGAACCUUGAAGGGCGAAGCGGGGAAGGGUUCCACGCGAACAUUGAUUGAGCGUGGGUGAGUCGUUCCUAAGCCGUCUGGUAAUAGCUAGGCACCGGCGAAAGGGAAGCAGGUUGAUAUUCCUGCACACGGAUGUAGAUGCGGUGACGCACGCUGUGGCGGUGACGUUGUCGGGACGCACUGGGCAGAGAUUUCUUUUCUGUUUGACAGAUCCAGGCGCACGCUGUGGAAUCCGCUUGUCGGGAGAAACAGGUGUGUUGUGGCAGAGCGCCGGGUAUUUUCUGGCGUCCAGUUCGCGACCGGCGACCCUUGAAAAACCGUCCGCGGAUAACUUCUACGCUGUAACGUACCCAUAACCGCAUCAGGUCCCCAAGGUGAACAGCCUCUGCUCGAUAUGAAAAAUGCAGGUAAGGGAAGUCGGCA
rnacentral:rRNA from 1 species